UUCCGGUUGAUCCUGCCGGAGGCUACCGCUAUUGGAGUUCGAUUAAGCCAUGCGAGUCGCGAGUCUUAGGGACUCGGCGUACCGCUCAGUAACACGUGGGUAACCUGCCCUAUGCUGGGGGAUAACCUCGGGAAACUGAGAAUAAUACCCCAUAGUUCACCACGCCUGGAACGGUUGGUGGACCAAAGCUCCGGCGGCAUAGGAUGGGCCUGCGGCGUAUCAGGUUGUAGGGGGUGUAAUGUACCCUCUAGCCCUCUACGCGUACGGGUGUUGAGAGACAUCGCCCGGAGAUGGAUUCUGAGACACGAAUCCAGACCCUACGGGGUGCAGCAGGCGCGAAAACUUGGCAAUGCGAGAAAUCGUGACCAGGGAACUCCAAGUGCAUCGGGUAAGACCGAUGCUUUUCUUGACUCUUCAAAGGUCUUGGAAUAAGGGGUGGGUAAGGACGGUGCCAGCCGCCGCGGUAAUACCGGCGCCCCAAGUGGUAGUCGCUUUUAUUGGGCCUAAAACGUCCGUAGCCGGUCUGGUACAUUCGUGGGUAAAUCAACCAGCUCAACUGGUUGAAUUCUGCGAGCACGGCCAGACUUGGGACCGGGAGAGGUGUGGGGUACUCUCAGGGUAGGGGUAAAAUCCUGUCAUCCUGAGAGGACCACCUGUUGCGAAGGCGCCACACUAGAACGGAUCCGACGGUCAGGGACGAAGCCUAGGGGCACGAACCGGAUUAGAUACCCGGGUAGUCCUAGGUGUAAACGCUGUGGACUUGAUGUUGGGGGCGCUCCGAGCGCACUCAGUGUCGAAGCGAAGGUGAUAAGUCCACUGCCUGGGGAGUACGGUCGCAAGGCUGAAACUUAAAGGAAUUGGCGGGGGAGCACCGCAACCUGAGGAUUGUGCGGUUUAAUUGGAUUCAACGCCGGA
rnacentral:rRNA from 1 species